rnacentral:other from 1 species
UCUCCCCUGCUAUGCGCGUGAUUAUAGAUAUAUUCAGAACCAACACUAUUAGAUAAGGGAACCUUCUCUGACUGUUCGCCGACGGAUUCCUUUAAAGGGGAAUGGUCGAACACAGUUAUAAGGGUCCCACCUAUAUAUAAUAGGUUCAAGAAUAGUCUAUGACACGGCAUCACGGUGGGGGGGAA